ensembl:lncRNA
GAUUGUCCCGCAGUUUCUCUUGCGCCUGCCUGACUUGGAUCACCUCACCUUGCCCCGGUUAUUCACCCACCCUUUUGUCUCUGACCACGUCUUUUCCUGGUUCGUACCUCACCCGUGCAUUCUGGCCAGAACAUUUAUCCAGCAGGAAACCUCACCCCAUAGGUCCGGUUUGCGGCGAUCACGGAAGUGAUCCAGCAACACAAGACUGUGGUGGUCCCUUUCCUGAGAAAGUGCCAGAUCCGUCCACCUGGGACCUUUAUGCAGUCUUCACCUCUUCAAUAACACGCCCAUUACCCAAUGACCUUCAUAGUAAUUGACUUGGAUGUCCAUAGCCAAAUGACAAGAACAAGUCUGCCGUGCGUGGGACUGGGUGACCCUCAUUACACGCUAUUUACAUGUCACGUUCCGUCACUGAGAUGUUCAAACAUCCCUGAGUGUUCAUUUUUCAUCACCUCGCUCCUGUUCUAUCCUAGUUUCCCUUUCACAUGAGCCCUGAGCUCCAUCAAUGUCAAUGAAGGUGUCGAUUAUGAUGUCUCACGCCAUCAUUUCCCCGUCUUCCAUCAUUUGUGGCGCUUUGAUUCCUUCACCGGGGAUGUGAGUGAAUAAGAUUGAAGGAAAGAGGCUGAAGAAAUGUAUUAGGGUUGUGAUACUUUAACCGCUGUCUGUAUUUAGUUUGUUAGCUUAUAACACUGAGUGGCUUCUAAACUCACAAUCACAUUUUCUUUUGUUUUAUCACAAUUACCUCAAACACAACAUCCAACAGACUUUGUCUAUUCCCGUCCCUCGGUUUAAAUAAGUGAUUGGAUUGGCUUGACUUGUUAUUAUCUUUUUAUUAUUAUUUAUCACAAAUGCAGUUACAUGAAAAGUAUGUGGUGUAGUAUAAAUAGUAGUACAGACGAAAUAUCAUAAGAUAUAAUAAUCCUUCAGGUUUGAAAACCUUUCAGGAGAAAAAACAAACAUUUGUCAGGACUCAACAAAUAAUGUGUUUUAGUUUAAAUUGUUCCUUGCAGUGUGUGUGAUAUUGAACUAUUCUAAAUCGACCCAUUGAGGACGGAUGCACCCGUGAUAGCCAGCAGGACCUAUUGUUGAUCCUUUCACUUUGGACACAUUUUAUUGUUUGUCCUCUUCGCUCCUUCACGCUCAGCACCUCUUCC